AGAGUUGUUACAAAGUUUUAAACAGCCAGAUCUCACAAGAACUCACUAUCAUGAGAAGAGCCAGAGGGAAAUCUGUCCUCGUGAUUCAAUCACUUCCCACCAGAUCACUCCUCCAACACUGGGGAUUAUCAUUCAAUAUGAGAUUUGGGAAGGGACACAAAUUCAAAUCAUAUCAUAAGGACAAAAUUCACUGGGUUAGGGCCCUUCCUAAUGACCUCAUUUUAACUUAAUUACCUCCUUAAAGGCCCUAUCUCCAAAAACAGUCACAUUCUGAGGCACUGGGGAUCAAGACUUCCGUGUAUGAAUUUUGAGGGAACACAAUUCAGUCCAUAAUAGGAAGGAAUUUAUAUUCCCUUGAGGAAGGGCCUCCACAAACAUAUGUAGUAAUCAUUCUUUUAAUACCUCCCUAAAGAUACCUUGGAGCCUGUAUUAGGGAAUGGAGAGUGCCCAAACUCUCCAGGAUGCUGAUACCAGAGGACCUGAAACCCCACCAUAGGAUGAGGGGGGUUACAAAGAUGAGGUGAGAAAGAGAACUUCCCCCCAAGUUCAUAUCACAGUGGUCUCCAAUUCCCACUGAAUGACUCAGUAGUUAAUUUCUUAGUCUCUAAGUAUGUAACUGAGUAGAUAUCAAGUAGCUGGCAUGCUCUCACUUUAGUUCUCUGACUUGCAACAGAAGAGCCAUAUUGUAGAAAACGUUAAGUGGAAGCACUUUAACCUGCCACUGAACUCUGUCAAGAUUGUGAAGAAGCAAUAUUGCAAGCCAGGAGGAUUUUUAGAGAUUAUUACUCCCUCAGAAAUAAGUUACUCAAGACUGGUUAUUCUCAAGGUACACUUUUUUGAUUCACCUGUUUUUCCUCUGUAAAACCAGAUGGAUCAUAGCAAACAAAAAAAUUAUAAACUUAAUCAAGUGUUAGCCUUACUUACAGGUGCUUCUUGCUGAAAAUAGUUCUUUACUGAAACACAUCAACAUGGCCUGUGCUAUGAUCUGUUGAAUACACUGUUUUCCAUCCCUAUCAGUAAGGAAGCUAGAAAGAAAUUCUCUUUUACGUGGGAGAUGCAGCAGUACACAUUCCUGUCUUUCCCCAAGGCUGCGUUAACUAUUUCAUUGCCUGUUGUGGGAAAACAAUACUGUUUCACAGGAAAUUUCAUCAUCUUGAUAUUGUGCAGAACAGCAUUAUUUGUCCAUUAAAAUAAGAAAAAAAUGCUAAUUGGGCCUAGAAAGCAGUAAGUAAUCUGAUAAGACAUAGUUGCCAGGGGGUAGAAGAUAAAUGCCGUGAAGAUUGGGGCCAGGCAUGCCCUAUUAUGAAGUUUAUAGUUAUCCAGUGGUCAGAAGAACAACGAGGCAUUCUGUUUAAAAUACAGAUUGCUGCAUUUUGAACCCCCAUGACAAAAAAAAAGAAAUACAUCACUAGGUGAUCUUUUGACACUGAGAGAACAAUUGGAAAUUCUAUUUUGACCUAUUUAUGAAGUGUCUUAUAAGGCUGACAGUUUUGCAUAGUGCCCGGAGCAAGAGAAGUUGUUGCAGAAAGUCUAAGCUUGAUCCAAGCUGUCCUGGCUCAAGUUACAUAUGACCUAGCAGAUCUGUUGAUGCUAGAAAUAAUCAUGGUAGAUAAAAAGGCUUUGUGGCAUCUCUGGCAAGUCAAAGUAGGGGAGUCACUGCACAAACUCUGAGGACUGUGGAGCCAAACCAUGCUUUAUGUGUCAUAGAACUAUCAGGCCUUGAAAAAUAGCUUCCUUUGUGCUAAUGAGCCCUAAUAGAAACUGAAGGCCUGAUCAUGGGAUACCAAGAAACUGUGUAUUGGAGCUUCCCAUGAUGUCAUAUGGCAGGCAGCAAUUAAUUGUGUUACAGAAUGAUACAUUCAGGACAGUACCUGAGCAGAAGUGCCCUAACACUCACUAAACAGGAAGGAAAAUACUUGGAUGUACUUUUCAGAUAGGUUGUUACUGGUACUGGCCAUAGAUUGUCUAUUGCUGUAUUAUUCUUCCAUUCAGGAGUGGCUCUAAAUGACAAACAGUGAAGGGAAACCUGCUAAUAACAGAGUUGUCAGCAGCACAUUUGGUCAUUUUCUUUACAUGCAGAUUUUCAUGUCUCACAUUAAGACUCACAAGAAAGUAUUCACUGCAGAAUAAGCACCAAAUAGUCCUGAGGGCAGGAUUACUUUUCCCAGGAAUGUCAGAAGACUUUCUCCUCAGCCAACUCAAUCCUGGAGAAAUGAGCCAUGGAUGAAGUGGCUUUUCCACUAUUGUAUGUUACACAAUAGUGUGUGAGAGUAAAGGCCUCAUUUAUGACAAAAUUGUUGCAACAAUAGGAAUACAACAAUGGGUUCCUCCAGUGUUAUUAUCAACCUUGCCUCCCAGAGCAUCCAAUCUAAUAGAAACGAGCUAUAUUAUGUUAAAGUCUCAGCACACCAAAGGGAAAAAAAUAGAUGAGUUGUUUUCAAAUAAUGAAACCUGCUUCUCAAGAGAGCAGUUGUCUAUGAAGCAAAAACUGUCUGUUUACUCUUUGUGACUGCCUACUUCACCUAUUAUCCAUCACCUCUCUGACCUUGAAGAAUUCUUUCUGAAUGUGUUUACAAAGAUGCCUGGCUUUCUCCACAGAACAGAAUACAUCAACAUUAUAUACUCUUGAGCUUCUCAUCUAGCAAAGUUGUACCUCUAGAUAGAAUAUGAUCCUCUGACUCAAGUCAGAAUUCAGUAAGAUUCAGACCAACUUGAUUUGGAUAAGACGCCAUCAUUUGUGGCUAGAGAGAAAUUAACAGAGAAGUUUCCAUAAAACCACAUUUGUAAAACUGAGAGUUAGAGAGGGUAAAUUCAAUAAGUAGGAGUUUGUUGAGGAUACAAUAGGUCCACUACAAUAACCAUGAAAAUGUAAAUUAACUAAUAGAGUCUUUCUAAAUGUAUGCUUCUUUUACUAUUUUAAGUGGGCUAAGUUUUAUAGUACUAUAGAACAGUGAUUUGACUGUCUAGACCUAUUCAUAAAAGUUUUUGAAAGCCAUUUUUCAGUGAGCUUAUUAUAUAUUAUAAUAUAUGGAGUAUCUUUAUUAUUGAGACUAUAUAUUCUUUAGAAAAGCUCUUUCCAAUAGAAAUAUAUGAGCCACAUGUGUAAUUUUAAGUUUUCUGGCACACAUUUUUAAAAAGUAAAAACAAACAAGUGAAAUUAAUUUUAAUGGUAUA